rnacentral:rRNA from 1 species
CGGGGUGAGUAAUGCUUGGGAAUCUAGCUUAUGGAGGGGGGUAACUACGGGAAACUGUAGCUAAUACCGCGUAGUAUCGGAAGAUGAAAGUGUGGGACCUUCGGGCCACAUGCCAUAGGAUGAGCCCAAGUGGGAUUAGGUAGUUGGUGAGGUAAAGGCUCACCAAGCCGACGAUCUCUAGCUGGCCUGAGAGGAUGACCAGCCACACUGGGACUGAGACACGGCCCAG